rnacentral:rRNA from 1 species
CAGUCGCCGCGGUAAUACGUAGGUGGCAAGCGUUGUCCGGAAUUAUUGGGCGUAAAGGGCUCGCAGGCGGUUUCUUAAGUCUGAUGUGAAAGCCCCCGGCUCAACCGGGGAGGGUCAUUGGAAACUGGGAAACUUGAGUGCAGAAGGGGAGAGUGGAACUCCACGUGUAGCGGUGAAAUGCGUAGAGACGUGGAGGAACACCAGUGGCGAAGGCGACUCUCUGGUCUGUAACUGACGCUGAGGAGCGAAAGCGUGGGGAGCGAACAGGAUUAGAUACCCCCGUAGUCCCUGUCUCUUAUAA